UAUGUAUGUAUUUAUCUAUUUAUUUACCUAUUUAAUUUUGACUAACUCGGCAUUCCAUAACAGCGAGCUUGGGAAGUUGAGUGUGCAUUUGUUCUGGGGGUGGUGGGGCACCAUCUUAACUUUUUUUGAGCGAUUAAAUAUAUCUCUGUUGUUCUGCCUGUUUUGUGAUAUACAUGCCUAAAAGGUGCGUAAUAUUUCUAUACUGAAAUAAUAUCGGUAUUACAAUUACUAUACCUAUGAUGAUUUUUCAGUUGGCAAUUUUUGUGCCCCCUCAGGACUUUGGGCCCUACGCAGGGCGCGCAGUUCGCGUUAUGGGAGCGGCGGCACUGACUACACCACUGGGUGUGGUCCGCUGUCCGUGCCGACGAUUGCUUCCUUGAGUGGGAGCCUUCUAUGGCAUGACGACUAAAUCAGUGAAGAAGUCAAGCUCAUUUCAACUCUACUUUGGCCAGGUGUGGUGUGGCGUCUGAAGUUCAACUGAGUGGUCUCUUCGUGAUGUCCUGCUCCAUCAGGUAGAAGUUGAGGUGAUCCGACCACCAUCACAAGUACUGUGUCCCUUGGAAAUU